rnacentral:misc_RNA from 1 species
GGUCAGGUGGCUUUAUUGCAAGAAGUUAAAAAUAGCAGUAAAAAUCAAAAUUAAAGGAAGCGUCUUAAACUCUACAAUAUGGGCCCCUCAUGGGCAUUUAUUCACUGUGCUCUUUGGGGAGGGAGAAGAUGAAUUGCUCCAGCUAGGACACUAAGAGAAAGAGAGUGCAAAGAUGAGAAGUAUAAAGUAUUUGGUACCUUCUUCCUUUCCCUCCUCUUUA